rnacentral:rRNA from 1 species
AAUGAACGCUGGCGGCAGGCCUAACACAUGCAAGUCGAGCGGAGCGGCGGACGGGGGAGUAAUGCCUAGGAAUCUACCUGGUAGUAGGGGAUAACGUCCGGAAACGGGCGCUAAUACCGCAUACUAGCAGAUGAGCCUAGGGCGGAUUAGCUAGUUGGUGGGGUAAAGGCCUACCAAGGUGGCGAUCCGUAACUGGUCUGAGAGGAUGAUCAGUCACACUGGAACUGAGACACGGUCCAGACUCCUACGGGAGGCAGCAGUGGGGAAUAUUGGGCAAUGGGCGAAAGCCUGAUCCAGCCAUGCCGCGUGUGUGAAGAAGGUCUUCGGAUUGUAAAGCACUUUAAGUAGGGAGGCGUUACCAACAGAAUAAGCACCGGCUAACUUCGUGCCAGCAGCCGCGGUAAUUC